rnacentral:piRNA from 1 species
UGAAGAACUGGGAGGCUGAUGUUCAAGG